GCAUCCUUCGGUCCAUCCUCGCGCCCCAGAAUUCUCCGUUCCCGCCAUCUGCUGAUCCCCUGAGCGUUUGUUAUCAAGGGCUUCAAGGAUUGCGCACCAGCCCUCAUCGUAAUCUCGUUUUAGAUCAGCCGGCAGACUAGUUUUUCCCGUUUGCUCUUAUGCUUUUCGGAUUCUGUCGUUGUUCUAGGGUUUGCCAGAAUAAAUUCAACAAAUGUUCUCGGAUUUCGAUUUCCUACACUGUGGAUUGGAUUAGUGUAUGAUAUGAUUGGAUUACUAGGGUUCUGUCGAUACAACCGGUUCUGGUUCUAAAGGGCGAUCGUAGUCUCAGGGUUUAGGCUUUAAGGGCUGGUAAUGUUCUUGGAAAGCGGAAUGAAGGAGAAGGGGGUGUAUAAGCUUGUUGCUUCAUUUCCAUCUUUGCUGAUCUAGAUAGGCUGUUACUUUUGUUUGCUGUAACUGGGAGGAGUCUUCAUCGAUGAAAUUAACUUAUCAGCCGCUGACAAAAGUUCACAUGAGCAUAUUGGGCAGGACUCGUAACUUAAAAAAGUCGGCGGCUCUUUCCUUUUGCAUUGAGCGUACUUUCGUGAGGGUAUGAGAGGUAUUUUUAGCAGUGCGUUCCAUUUUCAACAGUCUUUUUCUUAUUCAUGUGGAAUAUUUUAGAGGUUUGCAACUAUACCUUAUAAAUAGGUUAUCUCCUCCUUUUCUUUUGCAUUAGUAAUAUGUACAAGCUACCAGCUUAAAAUUCUUUUCAAGUGGUCUUACAGAAACAGAGGAAGGCAACUACAAUGCAGCAGAGAUCCUACAUCUGAUAGGUUUAAGAAGUUUAAUGAUACUAUCUUUGAGGAACUCAGGCAUUUUUUGCUCAUCAUUAUAGUUUUGGUAUUUUUAGUCCAUUGUGGUAGAAUUAGAGGUUAGCAUUAUAAGCUUAGGAAGUUGAAAUGUGUGUCUUAUUCAUUGUCAUCCAACAAUAGUUUUCAUUGUCAUCUGACGACCAUUAGCAAAAAAAAUUUGGCCCUAAUAAAUUCUAUCAUUUACCUUCUCAUGUACAAUAGCAUCCACAACCUUCUAAUUAUAUUAGGAAAGCUAAGAUAGAUAAGAAAACAGGCUAAUUACGUAUUACCCCUCCUGUAGUUAAAUUCUUUUAGCAUCUCGGUCCUUAGACUUAAAAAAAUUUACAUUGAAAUCCCUACAGUAAUGAAAACGAAAUAUUUAAUCUCAUUUACCCUCACGCCAUUAGCUUUGCCGACGAAAUAUACAGUAUGUGACAGCAUGAGCAGGAAUGAUACGAAAAUGAUGGGCAAAAAAAUAAUUUUAAUGUCCCAAUUAUAUUUUAUUUUGUUAUGCCCUAAUUAAAACUUCUUAGUCGACUAUUGUGCUUGGUGGUAGACGACGGCAUCGUUGAGGGCCGCGGGGGGUUGUUGUGGUGGUGGUCGGCCUUGUUGAUAUCGAUCCGAACAUCAGCGACCUAGGCGAGGGUGGCGACAGCUGUAGCGACAAUAGUUUGAUGGUGAUGGUGGUGGAUCUCGAGGAUGUGAGAAGGAAGAGGAGGGAGAGCGAUGGUGGGAGGUGAGACAAAGGGAGAGGAGGAAGAGAACGAGGACGAUAGUGUCACAAGAGAUAACAUUGGCACGACCAUCGUCCUUGUGACACUAUCAUCCGGUGAGGGAGGAGGAAGAGGAGGGGAAGCGGUUAUAUCCUCUCCCUUUGUCUCACCUCUCAUCGUCGCUCUCCCUCCUCCUCCUCCCGUAAGAAGCUGCAGAAGUCGGAGAUAGCAUCACUGCCACUCUCCCCCCUCCUGCGGGGGGAGGAGGAAGAGGAGGGAGAGCAACCAUCUCCUCUCCCUUUGCCUCACCUCCUGCUAUCGCUCUCCCUCCUCUUCCUCUUCCUCCCUCCACAAGAAGCCACAGAAGUCGAAGAUAGCGUCACCGUCGCUCACCCUCCUCUUCCUCCUCUCUUGCAGGAUGAUAGUGUCACGAGGACGAUGGUCGCGCCGAUGCUAUCUCCCGCGACACUAUCAUCCUUGUCCUCUUCCUCCUCUCCCUUUGUCUCACAUCCUGUUGUUGCUCUCCUUUCUCUUCCUUCUCACAUCUCCGAGAUCCACCACCACCAUCAUCAAAUCAUCAUCGCGGCCACUGCCCCCACCUUGGUCGUCAAUGUUCGGAUCGACGUCGGCAAGGCCGACCACCACCACAACAGCCACCCACGGCUCCCGGCGUCGUCGUUGUUCGCCACCAUCAUAGUAGUCGACUAAGAAGUUUUAAUUAAGGCAUGAUAAAAGAAAAUGUAACUAGGAUGUUGAAAUUACUUUUUUGCUCAUCAUUUUCGUAUCAUUCCUGCACGUGCUGUCACGUGCUAUAUCUCUAAUCGGUAAAGCCGAUGACGUUAGAGUAAAUGGAGUUAAAUGUUUCACUUUCAUAACUAUAGGGAUUUUAAUAUAAAUUGUUUAAGCCUAGAGACCAGGAUGCUAAAGGAGUCUAACUACAAGGGUAAUAUGUAAUUAGCCCUAAGAAAACUCCUUUGCAAAGAUCACCUUGGUUGAUGGCUCGAUUAAAGACAGAAUUAGUAGGAUUAUUACCCUGAACUUUAUAAUAACAACAAUAUAUUUCAUGUAUCUUCACAUUCUAGAUAGCAUCAUAGAUGUCUAUGUUUUCUUGCCAAGCAGAAGUUCAUCAUCAUUUUUGGUCGUUAGUUCUGAGACUCCUUACUGAUUGCACGUGGAUAUUUGGCGACUGUUUGAUAUGAUGAAAAAGACUGUCUGCUGCAAGAUACACACCCUAGGAUUUUAUCCUGCUGAGAUCAGCUAUAUUCUCCAUGCAUCAUUCUUCUAGCUAACCUGUAGAGGUAGAGAAAUUUAAGCAGGAAUGUUUUCGUCGCCUUCUUGCAGCCACCUUGGAGUGGAAUUCUUUAUUGUUCAUGAUGUUUAUUCCUUAUUGAUGUCUAUUUUCUCAUCAGAACAGCCCUCUCUUGUUAUCUUUAUGUCAGCAACCUGGCUGCUUAUCUUGGUUCAUUGCUUUUGUCCCUCUAAACAAUAAAAUGCUACAGAUGUGUCCAAACAACCAUAGUUUUGUACUUGUUCAAUAUUAUUUUGACAUGAUAGUUUCUGAUUGGCAACAUGUUCUAUGUUAAUGGCUGACUUGAAGCCUUCCUGUGCUCGAGUUUCUAUGGUGAUAACCAGUUUUUCAUCUGUUUUCAAUGGUUUGUUGACUCAAUACCUGGUUGGCUACUUUCUCUCAUCCACUUUGAGCGUGGAGGUGGAAAUUUUGUUUGUACUUGCUAAAUAUUCAUAAGCAAUCAGCACAAUUUAAGUUAAAUUGUCAUUCUCUGCCAACACCCACCUACAACAAGAGACAUGAAGUACACAAGAUAGAUGGCUUCAACUCACUUUUACAUGUCAAGAAAAAGAAUUGCUAUUCUAUGUCAAAGUGGCUUCUUGAACACGAAUCUGCAGCUGUUUUUGAGAAGCUAAAUAGCGGAUGUUUGUGUCCUCUACACAAAUCUGCAUGUUCCAUACAAGUAACUGAGAUGGUCAGAAUUAGAAGCAGUGCCUGUUACUGUGAACCCGGAAGCACAAUAUCAUGGCAUGUCAGACACUGUUUCCGGCAACAAAGACCAAUCAUAUGUCUGUUCAAAGAGUUGUUAUUCUUAUUUAUGAAACUGUACCUCAAAACCUGCCAAUCAGCUGCAGUAAUUGGUAUUUGUUAGCACAGUGCUCGUUGAACCACAUUCACUGUCUUUGAGGGACAUGCUGGACCUAUCUAACUUGAAAGACAAAGGAUAUUGAUACCCAUCAAUUAUCAGGCCAACAUGGGAAGAUGAUCGCUGCAUCUUUACAACUCUAGGAAUGUUCCUUCCUUCUGUCGAUAGUCUCCGCCUGCUUGUUUGUCGCUCAAAUGUAUCAGUUCGCUGGCGUGGUGCACUCUGUGACCUUGCCUUAGCUCUUGAAGAUUCAGUGUUUGCCAUGUAGUUGGGAA
rnacentral:lncRNA from 1 species